UCCACGUGGUCCUCGGAGUCAAGUGGGUUCACGUCAAACAGCUGCUGACAGGAAGGGGAGGAGAUGAUGGGCACCCUCACCUGCUGCAGAACCCCCAGCCCAGGGAGGGCCACUGAGGGGCGGGGGGGGCAGUGAAAGAAAGCCUCAUCUCCAUUGGGCUACAAGUGGUGCUGAGGAUAACCUACGUUGCUAGGGCGUUGCUAAGGUUACACCUUCAUGCUGGUUGGGUCUACAGAUGGGAACGUUUCCAGUCAUUAGUCAAAGUCCAUGAGCCCAGCUGUGAGCCCGACCUGCCGACUCUGCUCUUACUUGGGGAAGCAGUGAGCUGCGGACAGAACCCAGGACUCGGAGAUCAGAGAGCCG